ACACUUACCCUGGCAGGGGAGAUAAUAUGAUCAAGAAGUUGGUUUUCCCAGGGCAAGGCUUACCCAUUGCAUUUAGCUGACCCCUGAAAUUUCCCCAAAUGAGGGAAACUCCAUUGCAUACUUUGUGGUAGUGGAAGACUAUGUUUGCACUCUACUCCCA
ensembl:snRNA U1 U1 spliceosomal RNA